ACGAGGGUGACAGGUGGUGCAUGGUUGUCGUCAGCUCGUGUCGUGAGAUGUUGGGUUAAGUCCCGCAACGAGCGCAACCCUCGCCUCUAGUUGCCAGCAUUCGGUUGGGCACUCUAGAGGGGACUGCCGGCGACAAGUCGGAGGAGGUGGGGAUGACGUCAAAUCAUCAUGCCCCUUAUGACCUGGGCUACACACGUGCUACAAUGGGCGGUACAAAGGGCUGCGAACCCGCGAGGGGGAGCGAAUCCCAAAAAGCCGCUCUCAGUUCGGAUUGCAGGCUGCAACUCGCCUGCAUGAAGCCGGAAUCGCUAGUAAUCGCGGAUCAGCAUGCCGCGGUGAAUACGUUCCCGGGCCUU
rnacentral:rRNA from 1 species